rnacentral:rRNA from 1 species
AACGAGCGCUGGCGGCAUGCCUAACACAUGCAAGUCGAACGAGAUCUUCGGGUCUAGUGGCGCACGGGUGCGUAACGCGUGGGAAUCUGCCCUUUGGUUCGGAAUAACAGUUGGAAACGACUGCUAAUACCGGAUGAUGACGAAAGUCCAUAGAUUUAUCGCCAGAGGAUGAGCCCGCGUGGGAUUAGCUAGUUGGUGUGGUAAAGGCGCACCAAGGCGACGAUCCUUAGCUGGUCUGAGAGGAUGAUCAGCCACACUGGGACUGAGACACGGCCCAGACUCCUACGGGAGGCAGCAGUGGGGAAUAUUGGACAAUGGGCGAAAGCCUGAUCCAGCGAUGCCGCGUGAGUGAUGAAGGCCUUAGGGUUGUAAAGCUCUUUUACCCGGGAUGAUAAUGACAGUACCGGGAGAAUAAGCUCCGGCUAACUCCGUGCCAGCCGCCGCCGUAACAC